GAUGAAAGACCUUCCCGUCUGUUUAUUGGUAGUUGUCAGCGUGUGCAUGUAGCCUGUGUUCAGAAGCACAGACCAUCAGAAUAAGAACAUCACUCCCUUCUAGACCACACCCCAGGCACAUGUGCAGGGAGUGAGGCAGCUGAGGAAUCUUAAAAGGGCUAUUUAAUUUCCUACUAGAGUCCCAGGGAAACCACCUGGGAGGAGGCUGGCUCAGCAAUCAGAGCCUCAAAUUUGCUCCAUGCCCCCCCUCCAGUUUAUCCAGCCUCAGAAAGGUUGUGCUCAUUUCAUAGAUCAGGGACCCAUGAUUUGUGUGUGUGUCUCUCUCUCCCCCCCUCCCCCACAAACACACACACACGCACACACACACUUGAGUUAAGGCACAAAGUCUGGCCUGCAUAGCCCUGCAAGUCCGUUUCCAUCAGGCACAUCUGGCCCAGGGCUGAGGCCAUGUAUGUACACAAAUGGGUGAGUGCAGUGUUAGAAGUCUCUUCACAAAUAAGGAACAUGAUGAUGGCUCUGUGCUAAGCCCAGUCCUCCUGUUCCCUGGGAGGGGAUCUCUUGCCUCCUAGUCAGUUAGCCAAACACCUUCUCCCCAGAUGGACUGGGACCAAAUCAGCCACAGUUCAGAUGAGUGCUGGGGACUCAGGGCCUGACUUCUAACACUAAGAAAGCACACUUUCUAAGUGUGGUGGGGGCUAUUUGGGGACCUUAAAUAAGAUCAAGUCCCCACCUCAGAUGGAAAAAGAUGGCCACCAAAGCCAGGAUGGAGAGGUUUCUCUUUGUGCUUUGAAACCUCAACCAUGUAUAACAGGAACAGAGCUGACCUUUUUCCUCUAAGCUCUCUGGCUUCCACCCCAGGGAAGAGGUUUCUGCAGACUGGUGUGAGUGUGGGGGUGGAAAGGGCACAGUCAGGAUUGUGCGUUGGAGCAGGAGAUUGCUUCAGUGCCCCCUCCCCAGACCCCACCCUUAGCAGCUGCUUCCAGCACAUUUAGGUCAGCAACCACUUAAUGGGUGGCAUAGAGGUGGAGGUUCCUGGGAGCACAUGGUGCGGGUGUGACGGAGGGUUCGAGGUCUGCAUGAAGGCUGGGAGCUGUGCGGUUACUGGGCCCUGGGCUGGGUCAGGACGCCCAGGUAAAGUAGGCGAUCUCAUCCAGGUCGACCGGGUAAUCCGUGAGCAGCACCGGCGUCUUGUCGAAAAGCUCACCCUUGUAGCUGCGCCACUUGCCGGCGGGCAAAUAGACGUCACGCUCCUGCUUGCCCGGCUCCAGCACCGGGGCCACAAGCAGCGUGUCCCCAAUAAGGAACUGAGAGUCUAUGCGGUGAGCUGUCUCGUCGCCGGGCGCAAUCCACCAAAGGGGGCGCACAAUGGGGUCACCCGUGUCGGUGACCUCGCCCGCCAGCUCAAGCAACAGCGGCGCCACAAGCGAAGGCCCGCAGGGCGAACUUCUGCGCGAUGGCCACCACUUCCGCGUCGUAGCGCCAGGGCGGGAUAGAGAACUGCAUGGCUGGCAUAAAAGCGGCCACUUCCAGCCAGCGAAUGUAGAGCUCGCGCUC
ensembl:lncRNA